rnacentral:rRNA from 1 species
GGGUCAGUAGGUUGGUCGUGCCACCGGUACGUACUGGUCUCACUGAUUCCUCCUUCCUGAAGAACCGUAAUGCCAUUAAUUUGGCGUUGCGGGGAAACAGGACUGUUACUUUGAAAAAAUUAGGGUGUUUAAAGCAAGCUAACGCUUGAAUACAUUAGCAUGGAAUAAUGAAAUAGGACGAUCGAUCCUAUUUUGUUGGUUUCUAGGAUUGACGUA